CCCGCAGGGUNAUGCNCNUUAGUACGGCGAGUGAGCGGCAAAAGCUCAAAUUUGAAAUCUGGCACCUUCGGUGUCCGAGUUGUAAUUUGAAGAAGGUAACUUUGGAGUUGGCUCUUGUCUAUGUUCCUUGGAACAGGACGUCACAGAGGGUGAGAAUCCCGUGCGAUGAGAUGCCCAAUUCUAUGUAAAGUGCUUUCGAAGAGUCGAGUUGUUUGGGAAUGCAGCUCUAAGUGGGUGGUAAAUUCCAUCUAAAGCUAAAUAUUGGCGAGAGACCGAUAGCGAACAAGUACAGUGAUGGAAAGAUGAAAAGAACUUUGAAAAGAGAGUGAAAAAGUACGUGAAAUUGUUGAAAGGGAAGGGCUUGAGAUCAGACUUGGUAUUUUGCGAUCCUUUCCUUCUUGGUUGGGUUCCUCGCAGCUUACUGGGCCAGCAUCGGUUUGGAUGGUAGGAUAAUGACUAAGGAAUGUGGCUCUACUUCGGUGGAGUGUUAUAGCCUUGGUUGAUACUGCCUGUCUAGACCGAGGACUGCGUCUUUUGACUAGGAUGUUGGCAUAAUGAUCUUAAGCCACCCGUCUUGACAACAGGAACCAAAAA
rnacentral:rRNA from 1 species